AUAUAUAUAUAUAUAUGUGAUUAUGUGAGUAUUUAGGCUAUAGAAAGAGGGUUAUGGAUACUGAUGUGAUGGAUUUGUUUACAAAUAAAACAGUCAAGAAUUAUAGAGUACAUUGAAAAAUUUUGGAGAAGGGUUUUGGGUGAAGAUAAAGAGUGAAAGAGAUCUAGAGAUAGGGAGUGAAAUGGGGUCCAUUGUUUGUAUAAGUGAUUUGUUUGGUGGUUAUUCUGUGAUUUGUGUAAUGAGUAAUUGUAGUAUUGCAGACAUUACUAGUAAAAAAUGAAGACAACAUUACACUAAAAUAACUUCAACGAGAGCUUUGUUACCUUUUAAUAUUAUUUCUUUUUUAUGUUUAUUGAGUUUUUAAAUGAUUGAAGUUGUAAUAUGCUAGAGUUGCUCAUGCCUAAUCAAUUUGAAAGUCUUGGAGCCAAGCAUCAGUAAUUUGCAUAUAAAUGUUGCCAAGAGAAAAGAAUGUACUUUACUUUUGAGUGAAAUGAAAAGAACAGUCUUUUGAUAACAUGAUAACAUGAUCUGUCUUAGUUGCCUACUUUGUGAAAGAGCUAUGGUGUAAGCAUUUUAAUUAUUGAGAAAUUUUUUAGCACAAUACGAUGUGAGCCAUAUUAUGAAACUCUAAUUUCUGUGUGCAGAUUUAUGAUUUACUAAAAGAGAAUCACGUGGUUUGUCUUGUAUGCAGCUUUAACCCCAUCUUACCUUGUGUCUAGGCCUAACCCCAAGUUUCAAUCCGGGGAUUAUUCUGCAAGUGGUUCUUACUUCAAUUAAGGAUUGCGGCUUAAAUUGAUUGUUUUGGGUCUUCUCAGCCAAAACUGGAGGAUGUAAAUGAAGACACAGAUGACAUGUAUGAAGAUUUAAUUAAUAAUUAUGGAAAAGUGGUAUUUAGUAGAAAAGACAAAAAGCCUGCUAGCGCAGAGAUUGAUGAUGAUGCUGAAAGCCUGUCAUGUAAGCUGAAAAGAAGUCUUGUCAAAGAAUUUAUUUCCACCUUGUUUACAUUCAUGUACAAUCUGUCUUUCAACCUUUUGGAUUAUAUCAGGUUUCUUUAAGAAGAUUCAUCUGUCAGACUAUCUGAAGGAUGAUAAAUUACAUAAGAAUCUUGUAAAGCAAUUUAGGAAUAACAAUAUUAAAAAGUAGGGAGUUCAUUUCUAUAGUUUUUAGGUAGGUAUAUUAUUUAGAGAUUUAAAAAUAUAUAUACAAUUUUUGGAGGUUACGCAGCGAUAGGAACUUGGUUAUUGUGGUGUGCUUAAGUCACACAUUGAGUAACAUGGAAUCUUUGGUGGAGUAUUUAAGUGCUUUGUUCUUGCCCGCUUAAUGGCUAACUUUUGAGGUUGAAUUU